UCUUUAGUUUCUCCAACUUCUUCAUCUGC
rnacentral:piRNA from 1 species